rfam:Faecalibacterium prausnitzii SL3/3 draft genome.
GGUCAAGCGAACAAGGGCGCAGGGCGAAUGCCUUGGCACUGGGAGCCGAUGAAAGACGUGAUAAGCUGCGAUAAGCUUCGGGGAGCUGCAAAUAAGCAUUGAUCCGGAGAUUUCUGAAUGAGGAAACUCACCUGGGUUCAUACUCAGGUACGUUAUACUGAACUUAAAAAUAGGUAUAUCGAGGGAACCGCCUGAACUGAAACAUCUAAGUAGGGCGAGGAAGAGACAUCAAACGAGAUUCCGUAAGUAGUGGCGAGCGAACGCGGAAGAGGGCAAACCGGAAGUAGAAAUACUUCCGGGGUACGGACCGCAUUUAGGACUUGAGUUGUUAACCGAACGGCAUGGGAAGGCCGGUCAGAGAGUGUGAGAACCACGUAGGUGAAAACGACAAGAGCUGAGCGAGUUCCAGAGUACGGCCAGACACGUGAAACCUGGUCGGAAUAUGGGGGGACCACCCUCCAACCCUAAAUACUACCCAGUGACCGAUAGCGUAUAGUACUGUGAAGGAAAGGUGAAAAGCACCCCGGGAGGGGAGUGAAAAAGAACCUGAAACCCUGUGCCUACAAGCACCUAGAGCACGUCAAUGUGUGAUAGGGUACUUUUUGUAGAACGGUCCGGCGAGCGAUUGUAUGCAGCAAGGUUAAGGACUUAAGGUCUGGAGCCGAAGCGAAAGCGAGUUUGAAAAGGGCGUUAAGUUGCAUACAAUGGGCCCGAAACCGGGUGACCUACCCAUGGUCAGGUUGAAGUGGAAGUAAAAUUCCAUGGAGGACCGAACCGACCUCCGUUGAAAAGGCGGCGGAUGAACUGUGGGUAGCGGAGAAAUUCCAAUCGAACCCGGAGAUAGCUGGUUCUCCCCGAAAUAGUUUUAGGACUAGCCUCAAGUUAGAUACCUGGAGGUAAAGCACUGAAUAGCCUAGCGGCCGAGAGGUUAGCGAAGCUUAUCAAACUCAGAAUGCCAGAGUAUUGAUGCUUGGGAGUCAGACAGUGUCAGAUAAAUGUCAUUGUCAAAAGGGAAACAGCCCAGAUCUACAGCUAAGGUCCCAAAGUCAGGUUAAGUGGAAAACGAUGUGAAGAUACGUAGACAACCAGGAUGUUGGCUCAGAAGCAGCCACACAUUCAAAGAGUGCGUAAUAGCUCACUGGUCGAGCGUCUUUGCGCGGAGAAUUUAACGGGGCUAAACCUGACACCGAAGCUUAGGCAAUACAGCAAUGUAUUGGGUAGGGGAGCGUUGUAUACGCGGUGAAACAGUAGCGCAAGCGGCUGUGGAGUGUAUAGAAGUGAGAAUGCCGGAAUGAGUAGCGCGAAUGCAGUGAGAAUCUGCAUGGCCGAAAGCCUCAGGUUUCUGGAGGAAGGUUCGUCCGCUCCAGGUUAGUCGGGAGCUAAGGUGAGGCCUAACGGCGUAGCCGAUGCACAGACGGUAGAGAUUCCGUCACCACCAAAAGAGUUAAACACAGGGACACAUUUGAAGUCUCGGAGCCGGGUGUUGGUUCCGGUAGCGAUCGAGGGAAAUUAGUACCGAAGUCCGGGAUGGAAGAUGGCGAGAAAAGCUGUGUGUAUUUCUGCGGUGCCCGUACCGCAAACCGACACAGGUAGGUAGGAAGAAGAUUCUAAGGCCAACGGGAGAAGGGUUGUUAAGGAACUCGGCAAAUUGACCCCGUAACUUCGGGAGAAGGGGUGCUCCAGAGAUGGAGCCGCAGAGAAUCGGCCCAAGCAACUGUUUACCAAAAACACAGGUUUGUGCUAAAUCGAAAGAUGACGUAUACGAGCUGACGCCUGCCCGGUGCUGGAAGGUUAAGAGGAGAUGUGCAAGCAUUGAAUCGAAGCCCCAGUGAACGGCGGCCGUAACUAUAACGGUCCUAAGGUAGCGAAAUUCCUUGUCAGGUAAGUUCUGACCCGCAUGAAAGGCGUAAUGAUUUGGGCACUGUCUCGACAGCCCGCCCGGCGAAAUUGUAGUACCGGUGAAGAUGCCGGUUACCCGCGACAAGACGGAAAGACCCCAUGGAGCUUUACUGUAGCCUAAUAUUGGGUUUCGAUGUUGCAUGCACAGGAUAGAUGGGACACAGGGAAACAAGUGCUUUGGCAUUUGUGGAGUGGCCGUUGGGAUACCAUCCUUGCGAUAUUGGAAUUCUAACCUGCGCCUUUGAAUCAAGGCGGGGGACAUUGUUAGGUGGGCAGUUUGACUGGGGCGGUCGCCUCCUAAAGAGUAACGGAGGCGUUCAAAGGUUCGCUCAGCUUGAACGGAAAUCAAGCAAAAGAGUGCAAACGCAGAAGCGAGCCUAACUGCGAGACUGACGGGUCGAGCAGUAACGAAAGUUGGAGUUAGUGAUCCGGUGGUAUGUGAGUGGAAAUGCCAUCGCUCAACGGAUAAAAGUUACCCUGGGGAUAACAGGCUGAUCUCCCCCAAGAGUCCACAUCGACGGGGAGGUUUGGCACCUCGAUGUCGGCUCAUCGCAUCCUGGGGCUGUAUUCGGUCCCAAGGGUUUGGCUGUUCGCCAAUUAAAGCGGUACGCGAGCUGGGUUCAGAACGUCGUGAGACAGUUCGGUCCCUAUCUGUCGUGGGCGCAGGAUAUUUGAUGGGAGCUGUUCCUAGUACGAGAGGACCGGAGCGGACGUACCUCUGGCGCACCAGUUGUUCUGCCAAGGGCAUAGCUGGGCAACUAUGUACGGAUCGGAUAAACGCUGAAAGCAUCUAAGCGUGAAGCCGACCCAAAGAUAAGAUAUCCCAUUGUUUCAAACAAGUAAGACCCCUUGAAGACUACAAGGUUGAUAGGCACGAUGUGUAAGUGGAGUUUGCGGAGGGGUUAUCGCCGCCGUAACCCUCCAGCAGGUUGACGGC